rnacentral:rRNA from 1 species
GUGAGGAAUAUUGGUCAAUAGGCGCAAGCCUGAACCAGCCAUGCCGCGUGCAGGAAGACGGUCCUAUGGAUUGUAAACUGCUUUUAUUUGGGAAUAAACUCCGGUACGUGUACCGGCCUGAAGGUACCAAAUGAAUAAGCACCGGCUAACUCCGUGCCAGCAGCCGCGGUAAUACGGAGGGUGCAAGCGUUAUCCGGAAUCAUUGGGUUUAAAGGGUCCGCAGGCGGUCUUAUAAGUCAGUGGUGAAAGCCUACAGCUCAACUGUAGAACUGCCAUUGAUACUGUAGGACUUGAAUUCGAUCGAAGUGGGCGGAAUGUGACAUGUAGCGGUGAAAUGCUUAGAUAUGUCACAGAACACCGAUAGCGAAGGCAGCUCACUAGGUCUGGAUUGACGCUCAGGGACGAAAGCGUGGGGAGCAAACAGGAUUAGAAACCCCUGUAGUCC